rnacentral:rRNA from 1 species
AGAGUUUGAUCCUGGCUCAGGACGAACGCUGGCGGCGUGCCUAACACAUGCAAGUCAACUUGAUUCACGGAGCAAUCUGUGAUGAAGGUGGCGGACGGGUGAGUAACGCGUAGAUAAUCUGCCCUUUAAUUCGGGAUAACUCUGGGAAACCGGAACUAAUACCGGAUAAUAUCCUUUUGCCGCAUGGUUAGAGGAUUAAAGACAUUUAGUCGUUAAAGGAGGAAUCUGCGUACUAUUAGUUAGUUGGCGGGGUAACGGCCCACCAAGACGAUGAUAGUUAGCUGGUCUGAGAGGAUGAUCAGCCACACUGGGACUGAGAUACGGCCCAGACUCCUACGGGAGGCAGCAGUGAGGAAUAUUGCGCAAUGGGGGCAACCCUGACGCAGCAACGCCGCGUGAGUGAAGAAGCAGUUUAUCUGUGUAAAGCUCUGUUAAUCGGGACGAACGGAAUGGUUAGUAGCCAUUUUUGACGGUACCGGUAGAGGAAGCACCGGCUAACUCCGUGCCAGCAGCCGCGGUAAUACGGGGGGUGCAAGCGUUGUCCGGAUUUAUUGGGCGUAAAGGGCAUGUAGGUGGAUUUUUAAGUCAGUUGUUAAAUAUCGGGGCUUAACCCCGUGGGGCAAUUGAUACUGGGGAUCUUGAGUAUGAGAGGGGACGGUGGAAUAUCUAGUGUAGCGGUGGAAUGCGUAGAUAUUAGAUAGAACACCUGAGGCGAAGGCGACCGUCUGGCUCAUUACUGACACUGAGAUGCGAAAGCAUGGGGAGCAAACAGGAUUAGAUACCCUGGUAGUCCAUGCCGUAAACGAUGGGUACUAGGUGUUUGGAGACUAGCCCUCCAAGUGCCGUAGCUAACGCAUUAAGUACCCCGCCUGGGGAGUACGAUCGCAAGGUUGAAACUCAAAGGAAUUGACGG